GGCGCUGUGGCAGAGUGGUUAUUGCGUUAGCCUUGAAUUCAUUUCAGUUAGCUAAUUCCUUCGGGAGCAGCGGUUCGAACCCGCUCGGCGUCG